AGCUAGUUGGAGGUGUAAGAGACCCCCAAGGCGACGAUGGGUAGCCGGCCUGAGAGGGUGAACGGCCACACUGGAACUGAGACACGGUCCAGACUCCUACGGGAGGCAGCAGUGGGGAAUCUUCCGCAAUGGGCGCAAGCCUGACGGAGCAACGCCGCGUGAGUGAAGAAGGCCUUCGGGUUGUAAAACUCUGUCUUCAGGGAAGAAAAAAAUGACGGUACCUGAGGAGGAAGCCCCGGCUAACUACGUGCCAGCAGCCGCGGUAAAACGUAGGGGGCGAGCGUUGUCCGGAAUUACUGGGCGUAAAGGGCGCGUAGGCGGUUAUCCAAGUCAGGGGUGAAAACUCUGGGCUCAACCCAGAGCGUGCCUUUGAAACUGGGUAACUUGAGGGCAGGAGAGGGGAGUGGAAUUCCCAGUGUAGCGGUGAAAUGCGUAGAUAUUGGGAGGAACACCAGUGGCGAAGGCGGCUCUCUGGCCUAACCCUGACGCUGAGGCGCGAAAGCGUGGGGAUCAAACAGGAUUAGAUACCCUGGUAGUCCACGCCGUAAACGACGGGUGCUAGGUGUAGGAGGUAUCGACCCCUUCUGUGCCGUAGUUAACACAAUA
rnacentral:rRNA from 1 species